GAGGUUAUAGUUCAGUGGUACAGUGUGUGCUUAGCAUGCAUGAGGUUCUGAGUUCAAUCCCCAGUACCUCCA
rnacentral:tRNA from 1 species